rnacentral:rRNA from 1 species
CCACGUUGAUAGGCACCAGGUGGAAGCGCAGUAAUGCGUGUAGCCGAGGUGUACUAAUCCGCCGAC